UGGCUGAGUGGUAAAGCUCUUGGCUUCUGAACUGGGGGUUCCGGGUUCGAAUCCCGG
rnacentral:tRNA from 1 species